GCACACUCCUUCUCAGCAGAGCUUAACGGAGACCUUGCACCCGAGAGGGGGGAGGCGACUAUAAAAGAACUCCCAGCGCAAGUCAGCCCAGCUGGCAACACAAUUGAAUUGCGGGGACGCUUUAAAGCCUACCGGUACCAACUGCUCUUCUGGGGCAGGGCCAGCUACGCUGGAGGUCACAACCCGGUGGGAUAUCACAAUAAGCAAUCCGCAGCGGCAUAACCGUCCACAGACUAGGUGGUUGUGGGAAGGGAUCACCUACUUAAUAUAUAGUCUGGCCCUGUGACUAGUCUCACGCUUUUCUGCUCCCGUAUGUGAACCUGCGGAAUCAUCAUUAAUAAAAGGAUACCUUCUAUUAUACCCCAUCAGUGUCUACAUACUCUUAUUGCUUUCCUAUGCCGUGGCCUCCCACUGUGAGCUCACCCUGCAUGUGCCUGCCCUACGACCAAACUCUGAAUGUUAAUAAUGUCUGAGUACUAUAUAAAAGGUAAAACUUUCUACAACAGAUCUCUUGGGUCUGGCAUCGAUGAAGAACGCACCGAAAUGCUUAUAACUAAUGCGAAUUGCAUACUUCAGUGAAUCAUCCAAUCUUUGAACGCACAUUGCACCCGAUGGUAUUCCGCCGGGUAUGCCUGUUCGAGCGACAUUAUAACCACUCAAGCCUGUCUUGAUGUUGGCCAUUGCCAAUCUAGCAGCCCUAAACUCCAGUAUCGUCACCUGCGCCUCCUAACCGUAGUAAUUUCUCCUCGCUACACAAGCUGUUCGAGGAUAGUGAAAAUCCAGUCAGGUCUGGCAUCCCGCUAUUAAACCCCCAAUUCUCCAAGGUUGACCUCGUAUCAUGUAGGAAUACCCUCUGAACUUAAC
rnacentral:rRNA from 1 species